rnacentral:rRNA from 1 species
AACGAACGCUGGCGGCGUGCCUAACACAUGCAAGUCGAGCGGGAAAGUUCCCUUCGGGGGGCGAGUACAGCGGCGAACGGGUGAGUAACACGUAGGUAACCUACCCUUGAGACUAGGAUAACCUGCCGAAAGGCGGGCUAAUACUAGAUAAGACCGUGAGGGCUGCGGCCCUUGGGGCAAAAGGUGGCCUCUGCUUGCAAGCUACCACUUGAGGAUGGGCCUGCGCGCCAUUAGCUAGNGGUGAGGUAACGGCUCACCAAGGCUGGGAUGGCUAGCUGGUCUGAGAGGAUGGCCAGCCACACUGGGACUGAGACACGGCCCAGACUCCUACGGGAGGCAGCAGUGGGGAAUAUUGCGCAAUGGGCGAAAGCCUGACGCAGCGACGCCGCGUGGGUGAUGAAGG